GGCUUGGGGAGGCCGGGAUUUGCCCCCGCCCCCAGAACCGGAACCGGGACCGGGACCCCCGAACGGGACCCGGACCGGGACCGGAACCGGGACCCCCGAACGGGACCGGGACCGGAACCGGGACCCCCGAACGGGGCCGGCACUGGGAACCCCGAACGGGACCGGGACCGGGACUCCUGGACGGGACCGGGACCGGGACCGGAACCGGCACCGGGACCCCCGAGCGGGACCGGAAUCGGGACUCCCAAACGGGACCGGGACUGGACCCCUGAACAGGACCGGAACCGGGACUCCUGACCGGGACCGGCACCGGAGAUCCACGGAUCGGAGUCCCCGACCAGAACCGGGAGCGGGGUUCCCCGAACGGCACCGGAGCCCCGGGACCGGAUCUUCCUCACCCGGAGCGGAACCCCUGGAUCAGAACCCCCUGACCGGGACCGGAGCCCCCGGGACUCCCUGGGCGGUACCGGAGCCCCCGGGACUGCCUGGCCGGUACCGGUACCGGAGCCCCCGGGACUGCCUGGGCGGUACCGGGAGCGGACCCGGGCCCGACCGCAGCGGGACCGGAGCCAGGCGGGCCAAGCGUCUCUUCGACGUCCUGCACGAGCCUUUCGUCAAGACGCCGCGAUGAGCCCCAAACUCCUCAAAAGUCACCCCAAAAAUCCCAAUAAAAUCCCCCCAAAAUCACCCAGAAAUAAUUAAAAAAAUCUCCCCAAAAUCUCCCAAAAAAUUCACGAAAAAAUCCCCCCAAAUGCCCACCCAAAAGCCUCAAAAAAUCUGUACAAAAAUCCCACAAAAUUCCCCAAAAAACUCUCAAAAAUCCCCAAAAAUCCCCCCCACAAUCCCCCAGAAAUAAUUUUUAAAAUCUCCCAAAAAUACCCCAAAAAUCCCCCCAAAUACCCCCCCAAAAGCCUCAAAAAUCUCUCCAAAAAAAUCCCACAAAAUUCCCCAAAAAACUCUCAAAAAUCCCAAAAACCCCAAAAUCUCCACAGAGCUCCAGAAAGUCCCCAAAAAUCCCCCCCCAGGAUCCCAAAAUCUCAAAAAAAUCCCCCAAAAUCCUCCAAAAAUCCCCACCCCAAAAAUCCCCGAAAUCCCUCAAAAAAUUCCCCCAAAAAUCCCCCAAAAGGCUCGAAAAUGCAAAAAAAAUCCCCAAAAUCCACCAAAAAAUUCCCCUGAAAUCCCCUCAAACCUUCAAAAACCCCCACAAUCCCCCCAAAAUCUCCCGAAAAUCUCCCAAACCCCCGAAAAAUCCCCCAAAAAAUCUUUCAAAAAUCGCCCAAAAUCCACCAAAACCCCCCCCAAAACCUCCCCCAAUCCCCAAAAUCCUCCCAAAAAUCUCCCCAAAAUAUCCCAAAAAUCCCCCUAAAAAACCCCGAAAAACAUCCCCAAAAUGCCCCCAAAUCUCCCAAAAAUUUCCCAAAAUCCCCUCAAAAAUCCCCCAAAUUGCCUUUUUUUUGUAAUAAAGGACAUU
rnacentral:lncRNA from 1 species